UAAUCCUAGUGGCGAACGGGUGAGUAACGCGUGAGUAACCUGCCUCAUACAACGGGAUACCCGAGGGAAACUUCGGUUAAUACGGUAUAAGACCACACUACCGCAUGGUAGAGGGGUAAAAGGGGCAACCUGGUAUGAGAUGGACUCGCGUCGCAUUAGCUAGUUGGUGAGGUAACGGCCCACCAAGGCGACGAUGCGUAGCCGACCUGAGAGGGUGAUCGGCCACAUUGGGACUGAGAUACGGCCCAGACUCCUACGGGAGGCAGCAG
rnacentral:rRNA from 1 species